CAGAAACAACUUCCGUUACCUCUACUGUGUUACGACUUAUCUCCUUUUUCAACGAGAGUGACGGGCGAUUUGUGCACCACAAAAAACUUAAUUCAACUUAUACUUCUUCUUUAUAAGGAUUACUUUCAAGUCCAUCUUCAAAAGAAGUUUAACUCUUAAUCUGAAUAAAUAUUUUAUUGUAACUCACCUUAAAGUCUUAACUAUUGGCUGCGCCAUGACCUGUCUUCUUGCUUUUAGCUUUUUGGCACCACCACAAGUGGGACCUGAAAACGGCGGUAUGCAAACUAUUAAGUUAAGUUGAGUGUCUUGUGGGUUAUCUAUUAUCUGGUAAGUUCCCCUGAAAAUUUUUGCGGCCGCCAUGCCCUUUAAGUUUUAAUCCAGUGAUUUUAGUGCUUAGGUUGUUAUUUUGAGCUCAUGUAUAGUAGGGUAUCUAAUCCUAGUUUACUACUAGAGUUUACUUAAAAUUUACCAAGUUAAGGACAAAGGAAAUUUAUAUUUCACCAGUAAAUCUCCCUAUAAAUGGUAUUAAAGAACCUAUGAUAAUUUACUUUGUGACCAGGUGUGACCGCGGCUGCUGGCACCUGAGUAAGCCCCACAAAAUCCCGUAACUGAAUUUUUAUUGCUAAAAGUGUUCAAAAUUUCUUGCUGGUCUUCGCAGAGCUGCCAUACCAUAGUAAGGGGAAAGUAAAUUUUCC
rnacentral:rRNA from 1 species